UCAGGCUAUUUGUGGCAGUCUGCUGCCGAUUGUGGAGGGUUCUGCGAAUAAUCUUCGUCAGCACCGCCUUUGAUUUGAUUAUAUCUAUCAGUGGAGCCAUCGUUUCUCACUAUCAUAAUUUAUGACACUCAGGAAAUAAUGAAGCGCACAUCACCCGAAGAAUACGUUUUUGCUACAAUUGAGCUCUACCUGGACAUCAUAAAUCUCUUCAUAUAUAUAUUGAGAAUACUUGAAGCAAUGAAUAGAAAAUGAGUCUGUGCUCACGUUACAAAGAAAAGCUUCUCAUAAAACUAAAAAUCAUAUUUGGAGUUUUUAGUAGUUGUAAACGUGCACUUGUAAUAUUCACGUGUUGAAUUGAAAAGCAUUGAAGUAUUAUAAAUUAUCAUGUGAUAUUGUAUUCAACUUUCGGUUAAUUCCUGCAUUUUCUUGUUUUUUAAUUUAUUGCUAUGGUGUAUUGUGAAUUUCAUUUGUUAGAAAUUUAUUAUUCUUUAUUAAGUCUGCAUAACAUAUACCGGGUGUCCCACUAAGAGGUUUAAUUCAAUUCAAUUCAAUUUAUUUGCCAUAUAUACAAAAUUUAUACAAUUACAAAUUCACAUAAUAAUUGGGUACAUCAAUUAUUUACACG